GGCCCCAGAGGUGAGGAUUUCCAGGCCAAGCAGAGGCUUGUCUAGGCCAAAACCCAAAGCCCAAGGCCCUUAAUGAAUCACACGGUGCUUCCCAGGCCUUCCUUGGGGCCCCGGGGUACUGGGGCUCCAGGACCACAGGCCCAAUACGGCCACCCCCCCACCCCACUCUCCACCGCUCCCCAUCACGCUCUCAGACCCAGCCACACCACGUAAAGCUACGACACACUCUCCCUUCCACCAAAAACCCCCUUGAUAGGACUGCCUUUCCCUGCUCUUUGCAGUUCUAACAUGCUUUAUAAAUACAGAUGCACCCUGUCUCCCCUCCACAGACAUCAGCUUCCUAAGGACAGGGCCGUUUUUUUUGUUUUUGUUUUCUGCUUUGUUCCUAGUUGUACCCUAAACUAGUAGGUGCUUAAUAAGCAUUUGUGGAAUGUGUGAAUGGAUCCUCACCCAGCUCCGAGAAGUAGGUGCUAUUGUUAUUACAAUAUAUGAAGCAGGAAAGUGAAAUUGAGCAAGGUGGUGAGUUGGUGAGUUGCCCAAGAACUCAGACAGCUGGAGAGGGGGGAAAUCAGGGCCAUAACAGUAAUAACCACAGCUAAGUAGGUAUCGAGUACCUACUAUGUGCCAGGCACCGUGGUGGGUGUUGGAAUGGAAACGGAAGAAAAAAGCCAGGCACAUAGUAAGUGCUUUAUAUGGAUACUCUUGGAAUCCUCAGGGGGACUCUCUGUAGAGGGGACUGUUGUACCCAUUUCACAGAUGAGGAAACCGAGGCUCAGAGGGAUUAAAUAACAGGUCUCUAAUAAUAUCAGCUAUAAGAACAAGCCUGGCUUACUGAGCUGUGUUCCAGAUACUGGCUUUACAUCCAGGAUCUCUCACCGUUACCUUCUUCUAUUGUAUUUUACAGCAAAGAAACCAAGCUUCCGAGAAGCAGCUUAGUGUCUGUAGUAAGAUGGAAUGAGGCAGCUUGAACUCAUUUCCCAAGUUCUUCUGUCCCAGGACAUGCCUGGCACUGGGAGGUGGACAGGCCCACCUACAGAAGCCCAUUGCACAUUUGGUGCCUCAAAGCCAGAUGACCCUCCCUGGAACCUUGGUUUCCCCAAGUCUCUGAAGGGUCUGGGGCCAUGCUGUCCCUCCUCUCCACCCCCUCAUCCCCCAGCAUGGAACUGGCAGGUGGCUUCCUUCCCAUUCACACUUGGGACUGUCACUGUCUCGGGGCAGGGGUGGGGUGGGGUGGGGGAAGGAGGCUGGAAAGAGGUAGUGGCAACUCGGCUGUGUGACGUCAGGCAUGCUGCUGUGCCUCUCUGAGCUGCCAGCCUCUCCUGACUCCAUGGAAUCACAGCUUGCUGCGAAGGCCCUGGGCUGGGAUCUGGAGCCAGGGUCUGGGACUACUCACAGAAGGCCUGGCACCUGAAGGCACCCUCUUUCUGCCUGGAAGGACCAGGGGGAGGCACAGAGCCACCUGCACCCCUGCCCCAGACCUAUUUCUUCUCCCCACUCUGGGAGUGGUCCCCUGGGAGUGGUCUGCAAGCCCCCAAGAGAUGGGGCCCAGUCCUGCCCCCUUGUCCCACCUGGCCUAUCCUGGCCUGCCUUUUAUCACCAGGAAAGAAGAGUGAGUAACGAGGAGGCCACCUUCUCCAGGCCCCCAGAAGCCCUUAUCGGUACCUCUCUUGAAUCCACUCCACACUCCCCCUUCUCCCGCUGCUGCCUGCCUCCCGAUCCCUUCUGUCAUUCAAUCCUUGCAACUCAGCCAGUGUCCCAGCUCUGCCUCUUUUACAGACUGGGAAAGUGAGGUGCAGAGAGGUGCCUGGACCGGUCCUGAGUCCAUGGAAGCCGGGACAUCUUUCCCAGAGGGCCCCAGGAAUCUUUCUGAAGGCCAGCCUUCCCCAUCACGCCCCUGCCUGGGUAAUAAGGGUUCUGUUGGGGGGCAUGUCCCCCAGAAGAUGGAGCUGGACUUCAGAGGAGGACAGCCACCUGCCUGAGGUCACACAGCCAGAAGACAGCAGAAUUCUGACUCAGAACCUGUGACUACAGAGGGGAAAACUGAGGCCCCAAGAGGGGAAGGGUCUUGUCCAAGGUCAUGCAGGCCCUGAUAGGGCCUAGAACCCCACCAAGGCUGGGCUAGUGCUGAAGCACCAGAACCCCAGGCAGAGCCUUCCCACAGCCCUGGUGGGGGUAGGGGACUGCCUGGCAUUUCCUGUUUCUUUGGGGAGGACUUAGGGCAUGACCUGAGUGAGAAGAUGUGGGGAGACUUCCCGUGGCCCCUCUCUGCUCUCAGGCGAUAACUGGGACUGAGGGGCCAAGGAUGCGGUGGGGGGCAGAGGCUGGGAGUUCGAGUCCUGGCUUCCAGGCCUCCUCUCCCUCAUUGACUGUGUAUCUUUGUCCCCGCCCACCCCCACCCCCCCACCCCAAAGUCUCUGCAGCCUUGGGUGGCCCCUUCUUACCAUCCAGUGCGUGGACUCAGACAAAGUCCCAGACCCUCAGGGAAGCACGAGGUCAUGACCUUGGAGAAUCACUUCCCCCUCUGAGCCUCAGUUUCCUCUUCUGUCAAGUGGAGUCAUCGUGAGAUGGGGAGAAAACUGACCUGAUGGCCGGACUUAGGAGCGAAUUAAGCAUGUAAACCACCAAUGGCAGAGCCUGGCACCCAAUAGGUGGACCCGGCUGUUGUGCAUCUCAACCCUCCCCGGUGCUGGCCCGCUGGCCGCAGCCUCUGCCCUUUCUUACGCUCUCGGGUACCCGGCCCCGGGGCCUUUCCUGCCGCACCCCAGCCUUGCUCGCUCACGAGUGCUGUUCUCCAACCUCACCAGCCGCUUCUGCUUCUCUGUUGCUCCAAGCUCACUCCUGCCUCAGGGCCUUUGCACCUACAGGUCUCUCUUCCCGGAUUCCCUUUCCCCAUGUUUUCCCUUCUUUAACAGAAAUUUUAGUUUUAGAUUCUAUCAUUAGAAUCUAAAACAAGACCUAGAAGAGUUUAGGCAUUUAAUAAAUAUUUGUCCCAUAAAUAAAUGAAUGAAUUUUGA